GUGUGUGUGUGUGUGUGUGUGUGUGUGUGUGUGUGUGUGUGUGUGAUAGGAAUCUAUAUUUAGCGUCAUCUUUGUGUUCGGUGGGCAGCAGCGAGGAGCUGAAACAGAUCACAUGACGAGCACCUGAACUUUUCACCUGCCUCCUCCAGCACCACGUUGCCGCGGCAACCGACAAGCGCGGCAUCACCUGCCGACAGGAGAUCCCGGCCGAGCUGAUCCGAGACCUGUGGAACCGGACCAGACAGCUGAUCGACAGGCUGCCGAGAGAAGAAAACUACUUCCGGAGACUGCUGCCAAAGUUUUGCACUAAAUGUCCUGAG